rnacentral:lncRNA from 1 species
GCAAGAGUUUGGGCUCCAGCCAAGUGGAGUAAUUGGCACUUCAGCUGAAGGGUGACAGCACUGACCAAUGGACCAGGGUGCUCUCUAAAAAAAGGGAGAUGCAAGGUUUUAUUGAUUUGCUUGGGUGGGCUAAUGUCUGGUCAUUUUCCACAGGCCAGAGGCAUAGUUCCAAAAGAUGCUUCCUGUGAGGGAUUCGAAACACUGAGUAAUCACAAGCAACUUGUCCCCGGAACUGUUGAGUUACUCUUGGGACUGACUCUAUCAUCCUGCGAUGGGGCUGAAGGACUGGGGCUGCUACAGCUGCUGAAAGAGUAGAGGGUGGGGCAGAAGGAGAAGACAAAUCAGCUCCAAAGGGCAAGUGACAUGUCCACGUGCAGGGUAGACUCUAUCCUGCAAGUUAAGGCAGCAAAUUAUGAAAACAGAGAUGCCAUUUCCGUCACCUAUCAGACACCUGCAGGCCCAAGAGUCAAUGUUUUCAGCAAAAUCGGCCUCCAAGUCCCUCUGCAAAUUAACCUAGGCAACCCUGUCAUCACAACCCACACAUCAGAGUUGUGACCUACAGCAAAGCCAAUGGGAGACUACUAUAUUGCCAAGCUGUAUGAUUUUAGUGGGGGAGGGGGGUGGGGGGAGUGCUAGGUGUUGAACCUAGGCAUCUGGCCUGCUUGGCAAAUGUUCCACUGCUGAGCCACAUCCCCAGCCCCCCAGCUUAGCGCUUUUUAAAUUGACCGUGAGUGAAGCUGGAGGGCUUAAGUGUUUCUUGGUAGCAAUUUAAUCCUUCUGUGGUUUUAAAUGGUUUCAUGAUGGGUUUGUUGAAUGAACACAGAGGCAGGAAGAGAAAAACAUGCCAUGCCUCAAAGGAUAAUAGUUCACUUCACCUGGGGUUUUAUUUUAUUGUCUCAGCCUUUAUAUAUAUAUAUAUAUAUUUUUUUUUUAGUUGUUGAUGGACCUUUGUUUAUUCAUUUAUUUAUAUGUGGUGCUCACAAUCGAACCCAGUGCCUCACUCAAGCUAGGCAAGUGCUCUACCGCAGAGCCACAUCCCCAGCCCCUGUCCCAGCCUUUUGUCUCACUGUGGUGGUCCCUCACUAUCUCAGUGUGGCCCAGCCAACUUAACACAUAAGAACUCCCAGCACAGAAUAUUUAGGACUGUGAUGCAUGCUCCCUGAAUACGGGGGCCUGUGGAUGGAGCUCCCGGGUUUCUCAUUGGUGAGUCGGGGUUUCCUUACCUAUCAAUAGUAUCUGUCCCAUAUAGGUAACAAAACCAGCCAAGGCCACAAGGAAAAAACAGAAGGCUUGCCAUGUGCCAGGAACUAGUAGUUAAUGUACUUUUUUUUGGUGGUGGUAUUGAGGAUUGAACCUAGAGGUGCUUUGCCAUUGAGCUACAUUCCCAGCAUUUUUAUUUUUUAUUUAGAGACAGGGUCUUGCUAAGUUGCCUUAGGCUGGACUUGGACUUGUGAUCUUCCUGCCUCAACCUCCUGAGUGGCUGGAAUUACAGGUGUGUCCCACCAUGCCUGGCUAUCCAUUUCUUUUAAGGAGAGGCAUAGAGAGGACAAAUGACAUGUCCAAGGACACCCAGUGCUAUGGUCCAAAUGUUUGAGUUUUCCUCAGAUUCCCUCCUAUGUUGAAAUCCUAACCCUGAUGUUGACUCAGAUGUCCUUGAGCAGUGAAGCCUCCGGAGGGAAAGGAGUGGAUGCAAACCCGGUUGAGACAUAGGACAGUGGGGACGAAUGGGACAUUGGAGUAGGGAAUCUCAUCAUUGACCUGGACACUGACCUGGGAAAGGACCAGCAGAAACUGGAAAUGUCUGGCUCAUAGGAGGUGGGGAUGCCAGCUCCCAAUGCUGUGGCCACACGACCAGACAGCGUCAAGUUGUGGCCCCAGUGCCAGGUCCUCAAGGGAAGGAAGGCAAAUCAAAAUCCAAAAGGAAUAAGAGUGAAAAGACACUAGCAAACCCACUCAGGGACUUCCUGUUCACUCCAAGUGAGGGGGCAGCUAUCAAGAAAGAGGUGCAGGGGCGCUCGGGAGGUGGUGCCAGUGCAGGAGGCCUGGUUGCUGCUAUUGCUCCCAAGGGCUCAGAGAAGGCCGGUAAGGCAUCCCGCAGUGUAGCCGGCUCCAAAAAGGAGAGGAGACAGCUCGUCUAAGAGCAAGAAGGAGAGAAGCCAAGGAGUGGGGACUUGUUCAGAAAAGGAUCCUGGGGUCCUCCAGCCGGUUCCCUUGGGAGGACGGGGUGGUCAGUGUGAUGGAAGUACAGGAGCUGUGGAGCCACUUGGGAGUAUAGCUGUUGAGCCUGGGGCAGCGCUCAAUCCUUUGGGAACUAAACCAGAGCCAGAGGAAGGGGAGAAUGAGUGUGGCCCGCUAAGGAAAGUCAAAUCUGAAAAGGUAAGAGGUGGCCGGAUCUGGCUGCCCACUGCAGUCAAAACUGCCCUGGACUAACUGCCAAAUGCUGUGUGCACUCUGUUGGAGGCUUAUUAGUUUGUAGGUAAUGACCAAUUACAAGGUCAGAGCAGCUGGUAAUGAUAAUGUGGUUUUGUUCCAAAUUAGAGGAUUCCCUAUAGGCUCAUUUACAGCAAGCCCGGACAUUUUGGAAUAGGAUAUCUGUUCUUAGAAUUCUACUUGGUAGAAUGAAUUUUCUCACACCUUGUUAUUGUUCCAUCUUGGACACUUGUUGCUAGAGGCUGGCACCAAACUUUUAUGUGGUUUCCAGCUUGAAUGACAUUUCAUUAUUAUAGAGUUAUAAUAGUUGAUAAACUUAAUUAGCUUUUGGUUACAUGUAUAGGACUGUUCUUAAUGGAAUAAAUGGUGGUGUUGUGUUUCUGGAAGAACUAAAAGAUUGAUUAAGCUUCAUGGCUUAUCUACCAAGUGUUCUAUUGUGGCUACCAAAGAGCAUAAGGACACAGUUUCUGGUCUGGUAAACAAGGGGACAGGAGGUCCUGACUAUACUAUGAAAUACUCAUAAAUCAGGCUUUAUGAGUUACUGUUGUGGCUAUGAAAGUUUGGCCUAGAAAGAAUUUUUGGUCACUAAAAGAGAAUCUCUUUGUCAGGUACCUCCUGCAACUAUUGGGAAUCAGUGACCUGGUGGUUUUGUAGCUGCCCAAUAGUAUAAUGAUACUUUGUCUUUUGCUUGACUUAAAAGGAUAGGUGCCUGCAGCCCCAGGAUUUUUUAAGAUUGAGUCGCUCCUUUGAGAAGAUGAUCUUAGUUGAUAUCUCAGUAAAAUUCUUAGUGAAUGUCUCUCAGGGCUAGAGAAGAAUAGGUAUACAUAUGGGGCCAAUUCAGGCUGCCUUAAAUUUG